rnacentral:rRNA from 1 species
UACAUGUGGGGCAAGCGUUGUUCGGAAUUACUGGGCAUAAAGGGUGCGUAGGUGGCUUGUUAAGUCAGGGGUGAAAGUUUUCGGCCCAACCGGAAAAUGGCCUUUGAUACUGGCGAGCUCGAGUGCGUGAGGGGUAACCGGAACGAGCAGUGUAGCGGUGAAAUGCGUAGAUAUUGCUCGGAAGGCCAACGGCGAAGGCAGGUUACUGGUGCGCAACUGACACUGAGGCACGAAAAGCGUGGGGGAGCAAAACAGGG